AAUUAAAGAAUUAUUUAUUAGAUUAGUUUAUUUAAUUGUUAAUAAAAAUAAUUUUAAUAAUUAUUGAUUUGAGUAUAUUUUAUAGAAAAGAUUUAUUUAAUUAUAGUUUAUUAGUAUAGUAAUAGAAUUGUGAAAUAAAAGAUUUUUAUAAAGAAGUAGGAUUUAUUUUUUGUACCUUGUGUAUCAGGGUUUAUUAAAAAUUUAUUAUUAAAAUAUAAUUUUCCCGAGUUUAAGAGAGAGAAUAAAUAAUUUUUUUUAUUGUAAAAUAAAUAUUUAUAAUUAUUUAUUAGAAAUGAAAUGUUAUUCGUUCUUAAAUAUAUCUGGUUUAUUUAGAAAUGAAUUUAAUUCAGUUUAUUAAAUUUUAUUAAUUUAUUUUUUUAAAUUAAUAAAUUAUAUUAGUAAUAAUUAAAGGGAUAAUCUUUUAAUUAAAUUUUUAAAAUUAAUUUUAAAUUAAAAAUUUAUAGGUUUAGAAAUAUCCAUUAAUAAUAGUUUGUUAUAAUUAAUUUUUUUUUAUAUAAAGAUUUGAUAUAUUAAUUUAAAUAUUUAUGAAUAAUUUAUAUAAAAUUAUUGAAUAUAUGUUAUAAUGAUAGAAUUAGUAUAUAUUAAUAUAAAAAUAGAUUAUAAAUUUAGAUUAUUUAAAGGAAUUAGGCAAAUAAUUUAUUCGCCUGUUUAACAAAAACAUGUCCUUUAGAAUUUUAAUUUAAGGUCUAACCUGCCCACUGAUAUAUUUAAAGGCCGCAGUAAUUUGACUGUGCAAAGGUAGCAUAAUCAUUAGUUUUUUAAUUAAAAGCUUGUAUGAAUGGUUGGACGAAAUAAAAUCUGUCUCUAAAUAAAAAUUAGAAUUUAAUUUUUAAGUUAAAAAGCUUAAAUAUUUAUAAAAGACGAGAAGACCCUAUAGAUCUUUAUAUAAGAAUCUAUAUUUUUAUUUUAGAUGUUUUUAUUAACUAUAUUUUUUUAUAUUUUAUUGGGGUAAUAGGGAGAUUAUAUAAAUUCUUUUUAAAGUUUAACAAUAAUAAUUGAUUAAUUGAUCCAUUUAUAGUGAUUAUAAGAUUAAGUUACCUUAGGGAUAACAGCGUAAUUUUUUUAAAGAGUUCAUAUCGAUAAAAAAGUUUGCGACCUCGAUGUUGGAUUAAAAAUAAUUUUGGGUGUAGAAUUUCAAAAUUUUGGUCUGUUCGACCAUUAAAUUUUUACAUGAUCUGAGUUCAGACCGGUGUAAGCCAGGUCGGUUUCUAUCUUUAUAUAGAUAUUAUAUUUUAGUACGAAAGGACCAAGUAUAAGAUAUAUGGAUAUUUUAUUUUUGAAUUAUAUU
rnacentral:rRNA from 1 species